AUUGAACGCUGGCGGCAGGCCUAACACAUGCAAGUCGAGCGGGGUUUUCGGACCUAGCGGCGGACGGGUGAGUAAUGCGUAGGAAGCUGCCCGAUAGAGGGGGAUACCAGUUGGAAACGACUGUUAAUACCGCAUAAUGUCUACGGACCAAAGUGUGGGACCUUAGGGCCACAUGCUAUCGGAUGCGCCUACGUGGGAUUAGCUAGUUGGUGAGGUAAUGGCUCACAAAGGCGACGAUCUCUAGCUGGUUUGAGAGGAUGAUCAGCCACACUGGAACUGAGACACGGUCCAGACUCCUACGGGAGGCAGCAGUGGGGAAUAUUGGACAAUGGGCGUAAGCCUGAUCCAGCCAUGCCGCGUGUGUGAAGAAGGCCUUCGGGUUGUAAAGCACUUUCAGCGAGGAGGAAGGGUGGUGUGUUAAUAGCACAUCAUUUUGACGUUACUCGCAGAAGAAGCACCGGCUAACUCUGUGCCAGCCGCCGCUGUAAUAC
rnacentral:rRNA from 1 species